GAUGAACGCUAGCUACAGGCUUAACACAUGCAAGUCGAGGGACCGGCGCACGGGUGAGUAACACGUAUCCAACCUGCCCUUUACUCGGGGAUAGCCUUUCGAAAGAAAGACUAAUACCCGAUAUAAAGGAUGGGGAGGCGUUCCAUUAGGUUGUGGGUAAGGUAACGGCCCACCAAGCCUUCGAUGGAGAGUGGUUCUGAGAGGAAGGCCCCCCACAUUGGAGCUGAGACACGGUCCAAACUCCGACGGGAGGCAGCAGUGAGGAAUAUUAGUCGAGCGGCGCUAGCCUGAACCAGCCGAGUAGCGUGAAGGAUGAAGGCUUAUGGGUCGUAAACUUCUUGUAUAUAAGAAUAUUUAUUAUAUGAAGAAGGAUCGGCUAACUCCGUGCCAGCAGCCGCGGUAAUAC
rnacentral:rRNA from 1 species